rnacentral:rRNA from 1 species
UACGAAGGGGGCGAGCGUUGUUCGGAAUUACUGGGCGUAAAGGGCGCGUAGGCGGCCGAUCAAGUCAGAUGUGAAAGUCCUGGGCUUAGCCUGGGGACUGCAUUUGAUACUGAUUGGCUUGAAUGCAGGAGAGGAUAGCGGAAUUCCCAGUGUAGAGGUGAAAUUCGUAGAUAUUGGGAAGAACACCGGUGGCGAAGGCGGCUAUCUGGACUGUGAUUGACGCUGAGGCGCGAAAGCGUGGGGAGCAAACAGG